AAAUGCGAUAAGUAAUGUGAAUUGCAGAAUUCAGUGAAUCAUCGAAUCUUUGAACGCACCUUGCGCUCCUUGGUAUUCCUUGGAGCAUGCCUGUUUGAGUAUCAUGAAAUCUUCAAAGUAAAUCUUUUGUUAACUCAAUUGGUUUCUACUUUGGUAUUGGAGGUCUUUGCAGCUUCACACCUGCUCCUCUUUGUUCAUUAGCUGGAUCUCAGUGUUAUGCUUGGUUCCACUCGGCGUGAUAAGUUAUCUAUCGCUGAGGACACUGUAAAAGGUGGCCAAGGUAAAUGCAGAUGAACCGCUUCUAAUAGUCCAUUGACUUGGACAAUACUUUUAUGAUCUGAUCUCAAAUCAGGUAGGACUACCCGCUUAACUUAAGC
rnacentral:misc_RNA from 1 species